CAGUCGAACGGUGAAGCCAAGCUUGCUUGGUGGAUCAGUGGCGAACGGGUGAGUAACACGUGAGCAACCUGCCCUGAACUCUGGGAUAAGCGCUGGAAACGGCGUCUAAUACUGGAUAUGAGCUGCGGAGGCAUCUUCGUGGUUGGAAAGAUUUUUCGGUUUGGGAUGGGCUCGCGGCCUAUCAGCUUGUUGGUGAGGUAAUGGCUCACCAAGGCGUCGACGGGUAGCCGGCCUGAGAGGGUGACCGGCCACACUGGGACUGAGACACGGCCCAGACUCCUACGGGAGGCAGCAGUGGGGAAUAUUGCACAAUGGGCGGAAGCCUGAUGCAGCAACGCCGCGUGAGGGAUGACGGCCUUCGGGUUGUAAACCUCUUUUAGCAGGGAAGAAGCGAAAGUGACGGUACCUGCAGAAAAAGCGCCGGCUAACUACGUGCCAGCAGCCGCGGUAAUACGUAGGGCGCAAGCGUUAUCCGGAAUUAUUGGGCGUAAAGAGCUCGUAGGCGGUUUGUCGCGUCUGCUGUGAAAUCUGGGGGCUCAACCCCCAGCCUGCAGUGGGUACGGGCAGACUAGAGUGCGGUAGGGGAGAUUGGAAUUCCUGGUGUAGCGGUGGAAUGCGCAGAUAUCAGGAGGAACACCGAUGGCGAAGGCAGAUCUCUGGGCCGUAACUGACGCUGAGGAGCGAAAGGGUGGGGAGCAAACAGGCUUAGAUACCCUGGUAGUCCACCCCGUAAACGUUGGGAACUAGUUGUGGGGUCCAUUCCACGGAUUCCGUGACGCAGCUAACGCAUUAAGUUCCCCGCCUGGGGAGUACGGCCGCAAGGCUAAAACUCAAAGGAAUUGACGGGGACCCGCACAAGCGGCGGAGCAUGCGGAUUUAUUCGAUGCAACGCGAAGACCUUUACCAGGCUUGACAUACACGAGAACGCUGCAGAAAUGUA
rnacentral:rRNA from 1 species